rnacentral:rRNA from 1 species
AGACGGAGGGUGCAAACGUUGCUCGGAAUUACUGGGCAUAAAGCGCACGUAGGCGGUUGUGUAAGUGCGAUGUGAAAGCCCCCGGCCCAACCGGGGAAUUGCAUCGCAUACUGCACAACUAGAGCUUGAGAGGGGAGAGUGGAACUCCUGGUGGAGCGGUGGAAUGCGUAGAUAUCAGGAGGAACGCUGGAGGUGAAGACGACUCUCUGGCCCAAUGCUGACGCUGAGGUGCGAAAGCUAGGGUAGCGAACGGAAUUAGAAACCCCAGUAGUCC